rnacentral:rRNA from 1 species
CAGUCGCCGCGGUAAUACGAAGGGUGCAAGCGUUGAUCGGAAUUACUGGGCGUAAAGCGUGCGUAGGCGGUGAGUUAAGUCUGCUGUGAAAUCCCCGGGCUCAACCUGGGAAUGGCAGUGGAUACUGGCAAGCUAGAGUGUGUCAGAGGAUGGUGGAAUUCCCGGUGUAGCGGUGAAAUGCGUAGAGAUCGGGAGGAACAUCAGUGGCGAAGGCGGCCAUCUGGGACAACACUGACGCUGAGGCACGAAAGCGUGGGGAGCAAACAGGAUUAGAUACCCGUGUAGUCCCUGUCUCUUAUAA